rnacentral:rRNA from 1 species
AACGAACGCUGGCGGCAUGCCUAACACAUGCAAGUCGAACGAGACCUCCGGGCCUAUGGGCGCUCGUGUGCGUCACGCGUGGGAACCUGCCCUUAGGUUAGGCACAACUCCCCGAAAGGGAUGCUAAUCCCGCAUGAUCUCAUCGGACCAAAGAUUUAUCGCUUUUGGCUGGGCCCGCGUUGGAUUCGCUAGUUGGUAGGGGAAAAGCCUGCCAACGCGAAGUUGCUUAGCUGGUCUGGGAGGAUGACCAGGCACACUGGCGCUGAGGCACGGCCCAGACUCGGACGGGGGGCAGCAGUAUGGUAAACUAGACAAGGGAAGAAAGCCUGAUCCAGCCACGCCGCGUACGGAAAGAAGGCCUUAGGGUUCCAAAGCUCCCUUACACGUGACGAUAAUGACAGUACCGGGAGAAUAAGCUCCGGCUAACUCCGUG